UUUGAUUAUUUGUUGCUAAUUUGUAUUACAAAUAGUUAGUGUUGGUUCAGUAUGUAGAACAUAAUAUUUUCCGUGUGUUUAUCACGCGUUCGGUGCAGUUUUGCUGCAUUUCAUACUCACCUGGCAUUUUCUAUUCGCAGAAUAUGGAUUUUCCUUUUUUGAAGAUGUCGAUGGGAUCUCAAAAUAUGGACGUCAUUAUUUUGUUAGUUGACUGUUGCCUCUUUCCAAGCUUUACCCUCGAUUUAUCGCACACGGGAGUUUUAAUUAUUAUAAAAAUGAGUCGAUGGGAUCGCAAAACGUGGACGUCAUUACGUUGAUUGGUGACUGUUGCGUCUUUUCAAGCUUUACCAUCAAUUUAUCGCACACGGAUGACCGUCUUCAAAAUUUCGGAUUUUGAAAUGGGGCAGCCAUACAUGAAACACAUCCAAUGUCACAUAUCCAAAUACUGUUCAGAAUCAGAAACUCGUCGGAUUUAUUUUUUAUCUCGUGCGCCUUUUUACCCAACUCUCGUACACCUAAAAUUUCUGGAACGAUAUGUCUAAGGGAACUGUGCUUUGAUAUCUCUGGAGUGCCGAUCAAUUUCAUCUUGGGAUAAUUGAAAAGCAGGAUUUUUUGACGAUUUCUUCUACAAUAGACUCUUUGUGCUUGGACAUUUGGCUUACACGGAAUUGAGCAACAUCACUUAAAGUUAAUAAAUAUUUUUCUCGUAUAAGACUUUCUUAUAUAUA